GUCCUUAGAGUUCUCCAAGUAAAAUGGCAGGGCCCUGGCCAACAUAGUGUACAGGAUGAUGCCAAGGCUCCAGAUACUGGUGGUAGGGCAUUGGUACCCAUGGCCCAGGAAGAGUUCUGGGGCUACAUAAGAUAGGAUGUUUUGCGGCUGUAGCUCUCGAUGUGCGAUGUUCUUUCGGUGGCAGUACUGCAGUGCCUACAGAAUCUGCCUGAACAUGGUCCAGGCCUCCUCUUCCUCGAUGUGGCCAUGGUGGCAUAUCUGGUGGUGCAGCUCUCCUCCUCCAGUGUACUCCAUUGCCAAAUGGACAGUGUUUGCUGUGUCAGUCACCUGGUAGAGUUGAAUGAUGUUCAGGUCUUUUCCUUCCUCAUGUGGUUGAGAUCAUGCUGCGGACACGGAAGGAAACAGACACACCCUACCCUCCACAAGCCCAUAGCCUAGUCAGGGAGACACCCCAGCCAUGAAGCUACUUCAGGGUGAAGAGCACCAGGUGAAGCGGGGGCCGGAGAAGAGUGACCUGGGCUGCAGGUCAGCGCUGGGUAGGGGAGGAAGCAGCUCUUUCUCCAGGCCAGUGUGCUGAGCCCUGUAGUGUGAGGAGGGGUCUUAGGGACUUAGGGACAAGGGCAGGAGGGUAGCCUCUGCAAAGGCCCGGGGAUGACUGAGGGUGGCUCGCUGGAGUGAUGUGCUAGUCUGAAGGUGUGACUGGGGCCAGGUUGGGAGAGCUCGAGUCCCAGGACAGAAGCUGAGCCUGUGUUCUGAAGGUCGCAGGUGCUGUGGAAUAGUUCUGAGCCCCCUUGCUGUGCCACAGCCUUCAAACCCUGACUAUGCUCCUGACCUGGGAGUGGGCUCAACUGAACUUUGCCUCCUCACCAGCCUUGCUGCCUCCAGCCUCCCCCACCCAUGACCCUCCAUUCUGACUCCCAGAGGGAUCCAAGGGAAAGCCACCUCUGGCCUCCGCCACCCACCCGGUGGCCCUGAGACCUUUGGAGGGAAGCCCUUCUCCUUGUCCACCAGGGCUCACCUGGGCAGCCUGUUCUCCCCACAGCCCUGCCUUACAGACCACCCAGUGUGCCCAUGUUGGCCAUAUUUCCUGCAC
rnacentral:lncRNA from 1 species